UAGGCCUUCUCCUCUCUCUUCCCAGAGAUUCUUCCUCUCUUUCCCUUUCACCCAGACUUCUCCACCCACGGGUGCUGCCAGCCCCGCUGUGAUGCCGUUACUAACCAAGGAGCCUUGUUUAAAUGCUAGUUACUUCAGGGGGAAAGCCCACCAGCUGAAAGGGAAAAAAACCAGAGAGGAAAUAUUCCGCUGAUCUAAUGCUUUCCCACAGCCUGCAGCACCAUCACAGCUCCUGAGCACCGCUCUUCAGAAAGCCUCCUCGAGCAUUGUUCAAGGGAUCACCGACAUUUUCUGGAUGUGACAAUGUAGUGAACUUAGAGCAAAGGGCCCACACUGUGCUGUUCCUCUUAAGGCUGCUUUCUGAAGGGCUGUGCGUGGAAGUAUGUGUGAGGUAAGACUUGCUCUCCAUUCAGAAUGAUGAAAUAGAAGCACCCACGGGUUCAAUUCUUCUGGGAGAAGCAGUUUAUGGAUGCCCAAGUCUCCAGGGCCACGUGAUUGCAAACAUUUCUUUUGU
rnacentral:lncRNA from 1 species